rnacentral:misc_RNA from 1 species
GAUGAAGAACGUAGCGAAAUGCGAUAAGUAAUGUGAAUUGCAGAAUUCAGUGAAUCAUCGAAUCUUUGAACGCACCUUGCGCUCCUUGGCAUUCCGAGGAGCAUGCCUGUUUGAGUGUCAUUAAAUUCUCAAGACCUGUCUGCUUUUUUGAUAGGUAUUGGGUUUUGGGGGUUGCAGGCUGUUUCAAAUAAAUAGCCUUGCUCUCCUUGAAUGUAUUAGUGGAGAAAAGCCAUUGAACUCCAUUGGUGUGAUAAAACCUAUCAAUGCCAGGAGCAAUAUCACUACUUCUCUCUGCUGUCUAACUGUGACUGUCUGUAUUAAUUAGUAUGGAUGGGGACAACUUGACCAACUUGACCUCAAAUCAGGUAGGACUACCCGCUGAACUUAAGCAUAUCAAUAAGCGGAGGA